rnacentral:rRNA from 1 species
GUGCCAGCCGCCGCGGUAAUACCGGCAGCUCGAGUGAUGUCCAAUAUUAUUGGGCCUAAAGCGUCCGUAGCUGGCUGCGCAAGUCCGUCGGGAAAUCCACUCGCUCAACGAGUGGGCGUCCGGUGGAAACUGCGUGGCUUGGGACCGGAAGGCGCGACGGGUACGUCCGGGGUAGGAGUGAAAUCCCGUAAUCCUGGACGGACCGCCGAUGGCGAAAGCACGUCGCGAAGACGGAUCCGACAGUGAGGGACGAAAGCUAGGGUCUCGAACCGGAUUAGAAACCCUGGUAGUCC